CGACCGUCUUGCAAUAUAAACGAAUAGAGGUAAUGACAUAGGUGCUAGAUAGAGUUGUACCUUUCGCAACAUCGAAGCCGGGCAUCUCAGGCCAGGAUAAGCGAUUUUGCUCUAUGGUUAGCUUUUAGGGGCAUUCUUUGGCCUAUAGGCUGCUUUAGACGCACCUGCAUACCAAGGGGUCCGCGUAGGUACUGCCGUAGUGUUGGGUGUCUCGGAGGGGCCAUGUAGGUACUACCCCAUCUUUCCGAGGUCGAGGGAGCUUAGGCUCGCUGUUGAUCUGGUGAUGCUUUUCGAGGUCGAGGGAGUUUGGGACUCUACGGUCGACAUACGGAGCAUCCCGACCUUGGUCGAGGUUUUUGAGGGAGAUCAAGUCCAAGCUCGACGUCGGCGUGGUGAGGUGUUCCAGACUUGGCUGGGGCAUCCGAACUCAGUCGGGUUUUCUGAAGAUCACAAAUAUCCCAAUAUCAGGAAAAGCACGGAACAAUUAAGGAGAGUUAUGAAUAAAUUAUCAGGAGAAAGAGGCAAGAGUUGCGUUUUCAAGUGUUGUGG
rnacentral:lncRNA from 1 species